rnacentral:lncRNA from 1 species
UCAUGUACAGCCUAUAUAAAGUACUCCUUCAACUCACUAUAAGAAUGGGCAAACUAUAUGAACAGAUACUUCACAAAAGAAGGGAAAAAUCCCUUCACAAAUGGCAUCUGUCUCUCAACAGGGACUUGUUUCAUUUGCUGAUGGAGCAUCCUCUGGCUUCUGGCAUUGGCCCCUGGUCUCUUGGCCAAUAGCCCCAUGCUCCUCCUCUGUCCAUCAGGUUGCGUGGAACUCUCUCUCCCUCUGUGCCCUGAAGGAGGCCAUCAGGACAUUACAUUCCUGUAAUACAAAGUCACCUCCAAGAUGGGCACAUGACCCAAUCAGAGACAGGGAAUUCAGGGACUUUCUUUAGAGCCGUGGGGAAGAGAGACUUUUAUCAGACUGCUGGUGGGUGAGAAUUUCCACAAAUAUCCCAGUCACCCGAUCACCCUGCUGACUUUUGUACCAAAUGACAGCCAGAGCCAACUGGCCGUGAUGUGACUCAGGAUGUCCUAGAACACUGGUCCCCAUUUGCUUGGCCAGGUGACAGCCAAACUGCCCAGUUCACUCAUGGCCUUGUGAGCAAUCAUCCAGUGGAGGUUGUUUCAAUGUACUGUUUUGGGAUGGUUUGCUACAUAGCAAAGCUAGGGGGCACAUAGAUCAACCACUGAAGUUUUCAGUUAUACAAGACAAAGAAAUUGCUCUGGCUGGGUUGUCAAAGCUCUCUCUAUUCUUCCAUGUCAUCCUGAUCACCAUUUAUGGGUCUCAUAUAAGCAUUUAUCUAAAACAUUUUUAAAUCUACAUACAUAUUUGAAUCUCUUUCUACGUAUACACACACUAUAUAUAUAGAUUCUAUACACACAUAAUACAUAUGUACACACACUAUCUAUACACACACACACAGUUGACAAGCGUCAUAUAGAUAUACAGUUGACCCUUGAACAACAAGGGUUUCAAUUGCAGAAGUCCACUUAUACUAGGAUUUUUCUUCCACCUCUGCCUCUCCUGAAGCAACAAGACCAACCCCUCCUCCUCCUUCUCCCCAGCCCACUUGUAUUAGUCAUGGUUCCCUAGAAGGACAGAACUAAUAGGAUACACACACACACACACACACACNNNNNNNNNNCACACACACACACACACACACACAUAUAUAUAUAUAAAGGAGUUUAUUAAGUAUUAACUUGCAUGAUCACAAGUCCCACAAUAGGCUGUCUGCAAGCUUGAGGAGCAAGGAGAGCCAGUCCAAGCCUCAAAACUGAAGAUCUUGGAGUCGGAUGUUUGAGGGCAGGAAGCAUCCAGCUAGGGAGAGUCCAGCUAGGAAGCAUCCAGCUAGGCCAGUCUCGCCUUUUCACGUUUUUCUGCCUGCUUUAUAUUCACUGGC